AUACAAAUUUUGUAUCUUUUUUCAAUUUAAUUACUUUCUGGACUCGGGCGGACUCGACUUGGAGACGGCCUUAAAGAACUCGGACUUGAGUCCAACUCGGACCCUUUUGGACUCGGACUUGGACUUGAUGUUUAAGGACUUGGUCUUGACUCGUACUCGACAAAGGUGGACUCGGACCCAACUCUAGUAUUUCAUGAGGAAUCAUGGGUUCCUUGGUAUUUGAAUUAUGUUGCACCAGGCAAGUACUGCAUCUUUCGAUCAUGUGUUCUAUCUGCUAACACAUUCUUAGCCAGAAUAACAUUUCGUGCUCUUAGCUUCUCUGCGUGUGCGCAUAUCUUUUCUGUGUGAGGUCAGAUAUGACUAUUUUCUUAUAUUCACUGGUCAAUGAAAGUUUGUCUUAGAAGUCAAUAAUGUAUGUGGGAAAUUGUCUCCUCUUUGCAGGCCAUUCAUCCAAGAUCAUCUAUCUGAGCUGCUGAAAACUGCCUCGGUACGGAUCUGUUGCAGAUUUGUGUCACUGACUGUAUUUCUUCAAAUUCCUGUUCCGUGUCACAUGGCUUAUGCAAGACUGAAUCCAUGAAGGGGAUGUUCUGUGGAGACUGUGGGCGAUUCCUUCUGCUGU